GAAGCUAAUACCGGAUAAUAUUUUGUAACUGCAUGGUUCAAAAGUGAAAGACGGUCUUGCUGUCACUUAUAGAUGGAUCCGCGCUGCAUUAGCUAGUUGGUAAGGUAACGGCUUACCAAGGCAACGAUGCAUAGCCGACCUGAGAGGGUGAUCGGCCACACUGGAACUGAGACACGGUCCAG
rnacentral:rRNA from 1 species